rnacentral:rRNA from 1 species
UACGUAGGGUGCGAGCGUUGUCCGGAAUUAUUGGGCGUAAAGGGCUCGUAGGCGGUCUGUUGCGUCAGGAGUGAAAACUCGGGGCUUAACCCCGGGUCUGCAUUCGAUACGGGCAGACUAGAGUGUGGUAGGGGAGAUCGGAAUUCCUGGUGUAGCGGUGAAAUGCGCAGAUAUCAGGAGGAACACCGGUGGCGAAGGCGGAUCUCUGGGCCUUACCUGACGCUCAGGUGCGAAAGCUAGGGGAGCGAACAGG